AGAGUUUGAUCCUGGCUCAGGAUGAACGCUAGCGACAGGCCUAACACAUGCAAGUCGAGGGGCAGCGGGGAGGUAGCAAUACCUUUGCCGGCGACCGGCGCACGGGUGAGUAACACGUAUGCAAUCCACCUGUAACAGGGGGAUAACCCGGAGAAAUCCGGACUAAUACCCCAUAAUAUGGGCGCUCCGCAUGGAGAGUUCAUUAAAGAGAGCAAUUUUGGUUACAGACGAGCAUGCGCUCCAUUAGCCAGUUGGCGGGGUAACGGCCCACCAAGGCGACGAUGGAUAGGGGUUCUGAGAGGAAGGUCCCCCACAUUGGAACUGAGACACGGUCCAAACUCCUACGGGAGGCAGCAGUGAGGAAUAUUGGUCAAUGGUCGGCAGACUGAACCAGCCAAGUCGCGUGAGGGAAGACGGCCCUACGGGUUGUAAACCUCUUUUGUCGGAGAGUAAAGUACGCUACGUGUAGCGUAUUGCAAGUAUCCGAAGAAAAAGCAUCGGCUAACUCCGUGCCAGCAGCCGCGGUAAUACGGAGGAUGCGAGCGUUAUCCGGAUUUAUUGGGUUUAAAGGGUGCGUAGGCGGCACGCCAAGUCAGCGGUGAAAUUUCCGGGCUCAACCCGGAGUGUGCCGUUGAAACUGGCGAGCUAGAGUACACAAGAGGCAGGCGGAAUGCGUGGUGUAGCGGUGAAAUGCAUAGAUAUCACGCAGAACCCCGAUUGCGAAGGCAGCCUGCUAGGGUGAAACAGACGCUGAGGCACGAAAGCGUGGGUAUCGAACAGGAUUAGAUACCCUGGUAGUCCACGCAGUAAACGAUGAAUACUAACUGUUUGCGAUACAAUGUAAGCGGUACAGCGAAAGCGUUAAGUAUUCCACCUGGGGAGUACGCCGGCAACGGUGAAACUCAAAGGAAUUGACGGGGGCCCGCACAAGCGGAGGAACAUGUGGUUUAA
rnacentral:rRNA from 1 species